ACACCGGCGGCCCGAGUGGUGAUCGUGAUUAUUGGGUCUAAAGGGUCCGUAGCCGGUUUGGUCAGUCCUCCGGGAAAUCUGAUAGCUCAACUAUUAGGCUUUCGGGGGAUAAUGCCAGACUUGGAACCGGGAGAGGUAAGAGGUACUACAGGGGUAGGAGUGAAAUCUUGUAAUCCCUGUGGGACCACCUGUGGCGAAGGCGUCUUACCAGAACGGGUUCGACGGUGAGGGACGAAAGCUGGGGGCACGAACCGGAUUAGAUACCCGGGUAGUCCCAGCCGUAAACGAUGCUCGCUAGGUGUCAGGCAUGGCGCGACCGUGUCUGGUGCCGCAGGGAAGCCGUGAAGCGAGCCACCUGGGAAGUACGGCCGCAAGGCUGAAACUUAAAGGAAUCGGCGGGG
rnacentral:rRNA from 1 species